rfam:Toxocara canis scaffold806, whole genome shotgun sequence.
GGGGUAGUAGCUCAGUGGUAGAGCUCCCGCUUCAUACGAGGGAAGACCUAGCUUCGAUUCCCGGCGGCUUCC